rnacentral:lncRNA from 1 species
AGUGAGGUGAGGUGAGGUUCCUGGUUCCACUGUUCCAAGGAAAGACAACAGAGGAACAGCUAUGGAGCCAGUGCUCAGUGGGCAGGAUGGGGCGGAGGGUGAUCCCACUUUUCUUCCAGGUGAACCUUAAUCAUUUCAAGUUUCGAAUAGAUAGAAACUUGUCCCAUUUUGUUACACAGAGCAGGCUCUCAAACCAGCAUUACAAACAUGUCACACCAGGGAAGAGGAGCCUCAGGCCCAGGGACUAAAUGUGGCUCUGAAGACUUUCUAUAUGGCCCUUGGGAUGUAUAUGGAUGUUUUUAGUAGUGAGGUAUAAAGAAAAUGUUAUUUUCCUCAUAUCUCCCUGGGCAAUGCUAGAUGGAAAUUGGCUCUGUUGGGCUUUGAAAUGAAACCAUCCCAUGGACUCCCCCAUGGGAAAGACCACGUUCCAGCUAACUCAGAUAAUGAAGGAAUCCUAUUUGUGUUACAGCAGGGUCUCUCCAGACUGUUGCACAUGAACCUCUGCUCAUCCAAGGGGAAAGCAAGAGCAAUGGGCAUUCUUGGGCAGCCAAUCACUAAUAGUAACCAGCAGGAUCCUGUGCAACACACCUCACAAUUGUCUGAAAUGAAUGCACUAUCCUGGGGUGGGGGACCCCAGCAUUUAGCAAAUUUGCAGAUAUAAGGAAAUUCAAUAUCUCUACAACAGAAGCCCAGUUUUGUGUGUGCGUGUUUGGAGUGGGGAGACUUGGCCUCUUCAGCUGUGUGAAGAAAUUGAGAAAUCCUAAAUCACAAACCCUCUUACCACUUUCUCAGCCGCACAGGGAAACCAAGGUAUGAUUCGUAAACCAGCACUCGUGGACCACCUGAAGUCUCGCCUGUGAUUUAUAUAGGAAAGAGGAGGAAUGGUGAACACUGAAGCUACUUUUUUGAGUUAAGUACCACCAAGAAUGCAACAUCUUAUUGCUGCACAAGGGAUAAUUCUGUUGAUAGAAAAUAAAAAAAUCUGUUUAUUUACUAUGCAAGACAACUCACCAUUAUGAUGGUCCUUUAACAUUGUCAACCUGAUCCCAAAGGUUCCAGAGCAUAGUAACCCACCCAGAGAAUUCCCUUCUGAACCUCGGUUAGCAGGUUUGAAAACAUGCAAAAGGAUUUCUGGCAAAGAAUAAAAACUAUAUUUUUUUGUGGCGCUGUUCACUGACAGAAAGAGCACUCAGAUUGCUUUCUUUUCUUUUUUUGCCAGAAAGAAAAUAUUGCAAUGCUUUCUUUUCUUUUUUUGCCAGAGAGAAAAUAUUGCAAGGCAGAGAACACCCCCAAUGGCUUCUUUGUAGGGAUUUAUUUUAUUUUAUUUUUUUUAAUAAUUUUUGAUUAAGUUUUUAAACAAACAAAAAAGAAAAACAACACACACAAAAAACAAUACAAAACUUAACAAUAUAAACACAAAACAAUUAAUAACGAACUCUCUUUUCCAUUACCAAUUUUAAGUUACUUAUUUUCUGGACUUCCUCAUACCUCCCUCUUUUGUAUUCCAAUCCACAUUUAUUUAUCCAGCAGUUUCUUUUCCACUUUUUAAUCCCAAUCUUUAAUUUAAUAAAAUGUUAAAAUAUAUAACUUCAACUCUUUUAAACCUAAUCCUUGAUCUUAAUAUCCUGUAACUUUAAAGUUUUCCCUUUUAAAAUCAAAUUUCCAUUUCUUUAAACUUCUUUAAUCUUAAUCUUUAAUCUUAAUCUAUCCUUAACUUUAACCUAUGCAGCUGGAAACCACUUAUUUUCAGUCCAACAUCACUCUAACAUUCCUUAAUUUUGCAGUGUUUCUGAAGAUAGUCUUUGAAUUUCUUCCAGUCUUCCUCCAUCGACUCUUCUCCCUGGUCACGGAUUCUGCCAGUCAUUUCCGCCAAUUCCAUAUAGUCCAUAAGUUUCAUCUGCCAUUCCUCCAGCGUGGGAAGUUCUUGUGUCUUCCAAUACUUUGUGAUGAGUAUUCUUGCUGCUGUUGUUGCAUACAUAAAGAAAGUUCUAUCCUUUUUUAACACCAUUUGGCCCACUAUGCCCAGGAGAAAGGCCUCUGGUUUCUUAGGGAAGGUAUACUUAAAUACCUUUUUUAAUUCAUUAUAUAUCAUUUCCCAGAAAGCCUUAAUCUUUGGGCACGUCCACCAAAGGUGAAAAAAUGUACCUUCAAUUUCUUUACAUUUCCAACAUUUGUUAUCGGGCAAGUGAUAGAUUUUCGCAAGCUUGACUGGGGUUAUGUACCACCUGUAUAUCAUUUUCAUAAUAUUCUCUCUUAAGGCAUUACAUGCCGUAAAUUUCAUACCUGUGGUCCAUAACUGUUCCCAGUCAGCAAACAUAAUGUUAUGACCAACGUCCUGUGCCCAUUUAAUCAUAGCCGAUUUUACCGUUUCAUCUUGAGUAUUCCAUUUCAGCAGCA